rnacentral:tmRNA from 1 species
GUGCUUGACUCUCGCCGCGCAAACCCCACUUUGGGGGGGUCGGGGUAACCCGGCUAUGAUCGUAGAGGCAGUUCAGAAUAGACGUUAGGGACGGGGGUUCAAUUCCCCCCACCUCCACCAUGACGGCAGGCGGGUUCUGCCGUGAUGGGGGGGGUGACAUGGGUUCGACCUGGCGUGGUAAAGGUCCGGCUGCGAUUAGGCUGAGGUACGGCCUGGACUAUGUCCGAAUGUCCGCAAUCACAACUGCCAACGACAACGUUGACAUGCGUGCGGUCCGCCUCGCGGCGUGACCAAACGGGGCUCGGGAAAGCCUAGCAACAGAAACGGGACCUU